rnacentral:rRNA from 1 species
UUUAUUGAGAGUUUGAUCCUGGCUCAGGACGAACGCUGGCGGCGUGCUUAACACAUGCAAGUCGAGCGAUGAAGCUCCUUCGGGAGUGGAUUAGCGGCGGACGGGUGAGUAACACGUGGGUAACCUGCCUCAUAGAGGGGAAUAGCCUUUCGAAAGGAAGAUUAAUACCGCAUAAGAUUGUAGUGCCGCAUGGCAUAGCAAUUAAAGGAGUAAUCCGCUAUGAGAUGGACCCGCGUC